UUGCUCACUCCAAUUCCGGCUCCAAGCGGGUGAAGGCUGGAGUGCGAGACGCAGCUCGCGGUGCAGCCGUUGAACAGUGGCUCGCGCACGCGAUCCAGACGGUUCUGGUCCGCGGCCCGGCUCCUCAGUCACAACACAAGGCACACAGCCCGAGAAAUCGACUUCAAUCCUGGGAAACGAUGUGCUCUGCAAUCCCGCAACACCUCGGGCUACAGAAGUCAGGAUGCGUGGGCAUAUCGUGUGUGUGUCUUUGUGUGCAAAAGAAAGACAAUGAAGGAAGCUGAUUUGUUAGUCUUCGUUUUUAGGGAUUACGUUUAUUCGCUCUGACUGGAAACGUAAAGACUGUUGAGCCGCAUGUUACUUCUGAUGAGAUAUCCUCGGGCGUUUACAUCACGUGUGAUCUGUCUUACUCCUGAUCCUGAGAUCUCACUGAGGAGUCUUCCUCGAUGUCGACAACCGAGUAUCAGAUGUCCAACUUCCGCAUCUUUUCUAUAAACGAGCAUGAAUGAGGUUGUUGUGCGAAAGUCAACAAACCUCAACUUCCUUACUUAUUUUUAUCACAAGCUUUUUUUAAAAAUCAAAGUUACUUAUCAACUAGUAACCUACUGAAUAUGUAAAAAGUCUAUUUUAAAUACUUUUCACAGGGAAACACACCAGUAAACUUGUUUACUGUCAGAGUAGUAGUUGGAAUCACAUAUAGAAUCAUAGAAAAACUAAUGGACAGGGAAAGACCAACUGAUCUAUUCGUCCUGCCCAAUCACAGUCAUGUUGCAACUAAAUACAAUAUAGACUUUAUUUAUAGACUCUGAGAUGUACAACAUGAAAAUAGAUUUUAUUUUUAGGGAAAUGUGGAAAUUGGUGAAGUCCACAUUGAUGCCCUGGGGUUAAAGUGUUCCAAGGCAGAAGGUGAUGCGUUCUUCCUCCAGGCAUUGGGUAGUGAGGGAGUGGCGGUGAAGGAGGCCCAGGACCUGCAAGUCCUCAGCAGAGUGGGAGGGGGAGUUGAAAUGUUGGGCCAUGGGGCAGUGUGGUUGAUUGGUGCGGGUGUCCCAGAGGUGGUCCCUAAAGUGGUCUGCUAUGAGGAUGCCUAAACUUAACUCUGCUUAACUCUUACCUGCUCAUACCUUAUACACUUUCUCAAGAUAAGGAGACCAAACCUGCACACAAUAUACCAGGUGUGGCUCAUCAAUGCCCUGCAUUAUUGCAGCAAGAUAUCCUUGUUCCUGUAUUUAAACCAUCUCACUAUGAAGGCAAUAUACAGUUUGCUGUCUGCUGCCUAUUUACAAUCAGAGAAACUCUACGGUGUAGAAAGAGGCCAUUCGAUCCAUUGAGUCCAUACUGAUCCUCAGAGCAUCCCACCUAGACCUAGGCCCCCAUGCAUUUACUGUGGCUAAUCCAUCUAGCCUGCACAUCUUCAGAUUUGGGGAGGAAACCAAAAUACCUGGCAGAAACCCACAUGGACAGAACUCUAGAGAGAAUGUGCAAAUUCCACACACACAGUCAGCCUAGGCUGGAAUCAAACCUGAGUCUCUGGCACUGUGAAGCAGCAGUAUUAACCACUAAGCUACCAUGCUGCCCAUUUUCAGUGAUUGGUGCACAUGCGCACUCAAGUCUUGUUGAACAUUCCCUUUUCUCAAUUUACAGCCAUUCAAAUAAUAAUCUGCCUUCCUAUUUUUGCUACCAAAGUGGAGAACCUCACAUUUAUUAUCCUGCAUCUUCCUACCUUACUCCCACAGCCUUUCCAAAUCACACUGCCACAUCUCUGUAUCAUCCUCACAGCUCACCCUUUCUAUCCAGUUUUGUGUCAUCUGCAAAUUUUGAAACAUUUAGUCCUUUAACAUACAUCGUGAAUAACUGGGGUCCUUGUACUGAUUUCUGUGGUACCCCACUAGUCACUGCCUGACAUUCAGAAAAAAGACCCAUGUUUUCCUUCUCUUUGCUUCAAGUCUACCAAUCAAUAUUCUAUCCACCUCAAUACACUACCCCAAUUGCAUACACUUCAAUUUUACACAUUAAUCUCCUGUGGGACUUUGUUGAAAGCCUUCUGAAAGACCAAAUAAACCACAUGCACUGGUUCCCAUGAUCAGUUCUACUAGUUACAGCCUUGAAAAAUUCUAGUAGAUUUGUCAGGCACAGUUUCCCUUUUGCAAAUCUGUGCUGAAUGUAUUUGCUUCUACCACUAUUUCUAAGUGCUUUGCCAUGAAAUCCUUGGUAAAGGACUCAAUCAUCUCUAAUUCCAACAUCAGAAUCACAGAUCUAUAAUUCCCUGGCUACUUUUUAUCCCUGUAUCCUGCAACUUUUCAAACAGUAGAGUCACAUUAGCUACCCAGCAACCUGUAGGAACUGUUCAAGAGUCUAAAGAAUCUUGGAAGAUGACCACCAAUGCAUCCGUUAUUUCCAAGAAUGCUUCCUUAAGUACUCUUUGAUGUAGAUUAUCAGGCCCUGGUAGAUUUAUCAGUCUCCAUUCCUAUAAGUUUCUCCAUUUCUCCACUGCACUUGUCUCCAAUUUUGUUUUACCUUCUGGUCACUGUUAGGUCUAAACCAUGUAGUUUUUGAUUUAGAUUGGGAUCAGAUAGAAUACCAAAUUUUCAACACUAUAUGAUUGUCAACAAAAAAAUUGUAUCCUUUAUUCUCCAUACCAAUUGCUUGCUUCUGUUCUGAAAUCCACCUCCUCUAUUUGUCACCUCCAAACUCAAAUCUUCUGAUGCUCCACCAUUCCUAUUCUCUACUGUAUGCAAAUGUCAGCUGGUUUGCUGGUGUCUGUUGUACCAGGCUCAAUUCAAGUGCAGGCAAACAGAAUUAGUUUUGUUUGGGAAAUCUGCUCAGCAUGGAAAGGUCGGACUAAAGGAUCUGUUUCUGUUCUCUAUGACAUUGUUCCUUUCCUUUCUGAUCUAUGUUCGCUCAUUGUUCCACACCCAAAGCCUCCAAUUUAAAAUUCAAUUAUGUUUGUUUAAUUAUCUUUACAGGCUUGUCCCCUUCCUCUGCAAUGUAUAACUUAAUUUGGCUUCCCUAUCUCCCACUCCUGUGACUGUAAUCCAUUUUCUCAUGCUUAUUAUUAAAACAAAAUACCAUUAAAGCUAGAAAUCCAAAAUAAAAAUGGAAAAUGCUGGAGACAUUCAGCAGGUCUGGUAACAUCUGUGGAGAGAGAAACAGUUAACAUUUCAAUAAUAUAUACUAUUUAUUAAAACCAAUGGAUCUAUUUCUGAAGUUGUGAAAUCAUAGAUGGCAAGCCAGAACAAUGAGGCAAUUUUCACAGAAAUGCUGCCUUUCAAAGCAUAGGAGACCAAGCAGAAGUUGUUUUUAGACAUUCUGCUUCAAAACAUAGAGAAGAAAAGAACUUAAGAAACAGGAGUAGACGUAUGCCUUCAAGCCCAUGUGCCUUUUCGUGCAAUAUUGGGUGACCUUAAGUAUCGUUUUCCUAUACUUUAUCCCUAUAUCCCUUGAUGCUUAUGUAGAAAUCGAUCAAUCUCACUCUUGAACACAAUCAAUGACUAACAGCCCUCUGGGGUAGACAUUUCCAAAGAGACACUAUGCUGUGAAUGAAGAAAUUGUUCCAACUACCACCUUCUUCUGAGAUAGUUAACCCUGGUUCUUGACAUUCCAGACAGAUGAAACAUGGUUCCGACAUUUAUCCUGUCAAUCCCUGUUAGAAUUUUAUAUGUUUGAAUGAGGUCCCGUCUCAUUCUUCUGAAGUCCGGAGAAUACAGAUCCAGUCUACUUCACCUUUCCUCAUACAACAAUCCCAUCAUCCCAGGAAUUAGUUUGGUGAAUCUUUGUUGUCCUCUGUCGAUGUGAAGAAUAUCUUUCCUUGGCUAAGGAGACCGAAACUGCACAUUGUACUCCUAAGUCUCCAUAUUAAAUUGCAAUAAGCUUGUAUACUCAAAUCCUUUUGUAUUAAAGGCCAAUUUACUUU